rnacentral:rRNA from 1 species
CUGGCCUUGACAUCCAGAGAACUUUCCAGAGAUGGAUUGGUGCCUUCGGGAACUCUGAGACAGGUGCUGCAUGGCUGUCGUCAGCUCGUGUCGUGAGAUGUUGGGUUAAGUCCCGUAACGAGCGCAACCCCUAUCCCUGGUUGCUAGCAGGUAAUGCUGAGAACUCCAGGGAGACUGCCGGUGACAAACCGGAGGAAGGUGGGGAUGACGUCAGGUCAUCAUGGCCCUUACGGCCAGGGCUACACACGUGCUACAAUGGCGCGUACAGAGGGCUGCCAACUCGCGAGAGUGAGCCAAUCCCUUAAAACGCGUCGUAGUCCGGAUCGGAGUCUGCAACUCGACUCCGUGAAGUCGGAAUCGCUAGUAAUCGCGAAUCAGAAUGUCGCGGUGAAUACGUUCCC